rnacentral:rRNA from 1 species
UACGGAGGGUGCGAGCGUUGUCCGGAAUCAUUGGGCGUAAAGCGCACGUAGGCGGUCCGUUAAGUCUCUUGGUGAAAGGCUGGGGCUCAACCCUAUGCAUGCCGGGGAUACUGGGGGACUGGAGACAGGUAGAGGCGAGCGGAAUUCCGGGUGUAGCGGUGGAAUGCGUAGAGAUCCGGAAGAACACCGGAGGCGAAGGCGGCUCGCUGGACCUGAUCUGACGCUGAGGUGCGAAGGCGUGGGGAGCGAACAGG